ensembl:snRNA U6atac minor spliceosomal RNA
GUGUUAUAUGAAAGGAGAGAAGAUUGGUACUCCACUUGACGACAGAAGAGGACCUAAGGCCUUACAACACACAUAGGGUUAAGGCGUUGCCAUCUACUUUGUGGCAUCUAACCACAGUUUUUU